GAUGAAGAACGUAGCGAAAUGCGAUAAGUAAUGUGAAUUGCAGAAUUCAGUGAAUCAUCGAAUCUUUGAACGCACAUUGCGCCCGGUAGUAAUCUGCCGGGCAUGCCUGUCCGAGCGUCAUUUCAACCCUCGAACCACUAUUCCCGUAGCUGGAUCGGUGUUGGGGCACUACGGUGGAAUACCCGUAGGCCCCGAAAUGAAGUGGCGGUCCCGCCGCGGCGCCCCCAUGCGUAGUAACAUCUCGUCUCGCAUCGGGUCCCGGCGGAGGCCUGCCGUCAAGCCUAUUUUCUAAUUACAGAUGGUUUGACCUCGGAUCAGGUAGGGUUACCCGCUGAACUUAAGCAUAUCAAUAAGCGGAGGA
rnacentral:misc_RNA from 1 species